CGGCAUGCGCUACAACUAAGUGCACCACACCUCCCUCUCUCCCUUAUCCCCUCUCAUCACGUUCUCCCUCCCUCCCCUUCCUCCCUCGACUCCGAUCCAGAUCCAGGGCCAUGGUGCGCCCUCUUCCCCAUCGCCGCCGGCCACCAUCCCCACACUUUCUCUCCCUUGUCCCGUGGAUCCAUCUCUUCCAUGGCUGCCUCCCACACCGUCUCCUCCUUCCCCCAUCUCAUCCUGUUUUUCUUGUUUGGGAGCGACGAGGGAUUGGCGAGGCUGGAGGCGAGCACGUGGAAGAGCGGAGCGGGGCUGGCGAGGGGAGGGCGCGGAAGAAGGAGAGUGCCGCCGCCGGGGUGGGCGCGGCGCAGAUGCGGUGGAGCGCGACCAUGGGGUCGUCCGGUGGGGGCGGCGGCGGGAGGAAGGGGAGCGGAGGCGGAGGCGCAGCGAGUCAAUGAGGCAUCGCGUGGCAGAGGAGACGGCGGCUGUCGGGCAGGGGCAUCGCGUGGCAGAGGAGGCGGCGGCUGUCGGGCGGGGGCAUCGCGUGGCAGAGGAGACGGCAGCGGCGGCGAGACGAGGGACGCCCGAGCUCCUCGGCCCAGCUCAACAGAAGGACCUAGAAGCACUUUUUCUCAUACAUUGGCAUAUCGUAUCAAUGGAGCAUGGGCGACCCAUGGUGCACAUACAGCUUGCUACCGAAGUACCCAUCAGUGGCACAUAUCAGUGCUUUGUUCUUUGGAGGCAUAUACCCGAGGAUCAGUCUAAGUCAGAAGAGAUGAUACACAGACCAAAGCCGAUCUAGGAAGGGAUGUUGGGCUCUUGGCGCCCCCGAGUCAUGUCUGAAAAAAUCAGCACUGCAGAUUGUUUGGUAGUGGACUUGCCAAGUAUACAAGAUUUUCAAUCGCAAUUUUAUGAAUGGAGAAGGUAGAAGAUAGCGAAAGAGUGCUGCAGGAUAAUGAGAUGUUGAAGCGGCAGACUGAAUCCAUGACACCGAAGUGCAAUUGCGGCAGAUUAUCUCUAUCUUUUCUUUUCAUUUUUCUUAUUAUUGAGUGAGAACAGAAUGAGGAACUGUGUGAUAGUACAUACAACAACUGUAGUAAAAAGAAACUUAUGUUUGCAAUUGUUAAUGACAUAGAUACUUGCAUGUUCUUUCAA